UACGAAGGGGGCUAGCGUUGCUCGGAAUCACUGGGCGUAAAGCGCACGUAGGCGGAUUGUUAAGUCAGGGGUGAAAUCCUGGAGCUCAACUCCAGAACUGCCUUUGAUAACUGGCGAUCUCGAGUCCGGGAGAGGUGGAGUGGAACUGCGAGUGUAGAGGUGAAAUUCGUAGAUAUUCGCAAGAACACCAGUGGCGAAGGCGGCUCACUGGCCCGGUACUGACGCUGAGGUGCGAAAGCGUGGGGAGCAAACGGG
rnacentral:rRNA from 1 species